rnacentral:rRNA from 1 species
UACAGAGGUGGCGAGCGUUAUUCGGAAUUAUUGGGCGUAAAGGGCGCGUAGGCGGCUUGACAAGUCCCGGGUGAAAUCCCUCGGCUCAACCGAGGAACUGCCUUGGAAACUGUCUGGCUUGAGGCCGGGAGAGGGUAGUGGAAUUCCCAGUGUAGCGGUGAAAUGCGUAGAUACUGGGAGGAACACCGGUGGCGAAGGCGGCAUCCUGGACCGGCAUUGACGCUGAGGCGCGAAAGCCAGGGGAGCAAACGGG